rnacentral:rRNA from 1 species
UACAGAGGUCUCAAGCGUUGUUCGGAUUCAUUGGGCGUAAAGGGUGUGUAGGUGGCGCGCUAAGUCGGGGGUGAAAUUUCGGAGCUUAACUCCGAAACUGCAUUCGAUACUGCCGUGCUUGAGGACUGGAGAGGAGACUGGAAUUUACGGUGUAGCGGUGAAAUGCGUAGAUAUCGGGAGGAAUACCAGCGGCGAAGGCGGCCUUCUGGACGGUGACUGACGCUGAGACGCGAAAGCGUGGGGAGCAAACAGG